rnacentral:rRNA from 1 species
ACUAAGUUUCAACAACGGAUCUCUAGGCUCUCGCAUCGAUGAAGAACGCAGCGAAAUGCGAUAAGUAAUGUGAAUUGCAGAAUUCAGUGAAUCAUCGAAUCUUUGAACGCACCUUGCGCUCCUUGGUAUUCCUUGGAGCAUGCCUGUUUGAGUAUCAUGAAAU